rnacentral:rRNA from 1 species
CGAAGGGGCUAGCGUUGCUCGGAAUGACUGGGCGUAAAGGGCGCGUAGGCGGACAUAUUAGUCAGGCGUGAAAUUCCUGGGCUUAACCUGGGGCUGCGUUUGAUACGGUGUGUCUUGAGUGGGGAAGAGGGUCGUGGAAUUCCCAGUGUAGAGGUGAAAUUCGUAGAUAUUGGGAAGAACACCGGUGGCGAAGGCGGCGACCUGGUCCUUGACUGACGCUGAGGCGCGAAAGCGUGGGAGCAAACAGGAUU